rnacentral:misc_RNA from 1 species
UUAAGUUCGCGGUGAGCCUACCUGAUUUGAGAUCAAACAUUCAAAGAGCUGUCCUCACUGAAGAAAGACAUUUGUGAGCCCCAGUGAACCCCCAUCACUGAAGGUUGCCCGGUGGAAAACCCCAAGCGUAGAUUGUUAUCACACCUGUGGUGCCACCAAACACUGGUAGGCUGAUUCAUUUGAGAGGAGCUGACCAAAUG